rnacentral:rRNA from 1 species
UAAUACGGAGGGGGCGAGCGUUGUUCGGAAUUACUGGGCGUAAAGGGUGCGUAGGCGGUUUUCCAAGUCGGGCGUGAAAGCCCCGGGCUCAACCCGGGAUGUGCGUUCGAGACUGGAAGGCUUGAGCACGAGAGAGGAUGGUGGAAUUCCCAGUGUAGAGGUGAAAUUCGUAGAGAUUGGGAAGAACACCGGUGGCGAAGGCGGCCAUCUGGCUCGUUGCUGACGCUGAGGCACGACAGCGUGGGGAGCAAACAGGAUUAGAUACCCUGGUAGUCCACGCCGUAAACGAUGUGCGCUGGCCGUCGGGAAGCAUGCUUCUCGGUGGCGAAGCCAACGCGAUAAGCGCACCGCCUGGGGAGUACGGCCGCAAGGUUG